rnacentral:rRNA from 1 species
UACAGAGGUCUCAAGCGUUGUUCGGAUUCAUUGGGCGUAAAGGGUGCGUAGGCGGCGGGGUAAGUCGGGUGUGAAAUCUCAGGGCUCAACCCUGAAACUGCACUCGAUACUGCUCUGCUUGAGGACUGGAGAGGAGAUUGGAAUUCACGGUGUAGCAGUGAAAUGCGUAGAUAUCGUGAGGAAGACCAGUGGCGAAGGCGGAUCUCUGGACAGUUCCUGACGCUGAGGCGCGAAGGCCAGGGGAGCAAACGGG